rnacentral:lncRNA from 1 species
AAUGUUCAGUUGGAUACCAGCGGUCAAGCUGUACGGACGCCGUGGAUUUACAGUGACAUUCAUUGUGUUUAGUAUAGAACAUUUAUUGGAAUUACCAUUUGUUUUGUCUUUUCGGAAUAUUUACCGUUGAACUUUUAUUGUAAUUAAUGUAUUGCACUAUUGAAGAAGUUGUAUAUAAACCAUCUUAAAGCUAAACUUAGUUUUGUUUCAUCAGUAUCUAGUGACUUCCCC